GACGAACGCUGGCGGCGUGCCUAAUACAUGCAAGUUGAGCGCUGAAGGUUGGUACUUGUACCAACUGGAUGAGCAGCGAACGGGUGAGUAACGCGUGGGGAAUCUGCCUUUGAGCGGGGGACAACAUUUGGAAACGAAUGCUAAUACCGCAUAAAAACUUUAAACACAAGUUUUAAGUUUGAAAGAUGCAAUUGCAUCACUCAAAGAUGAUCCCGCGGUUUAUUAGCUAGUUGGUGAGUUAAAGGCUCACCAAGGCGAUGAUACAUAGCCAACCUGAGCGGGUGUAGGGCCACUGUGGGAGUGAGAGACGGCCCAAAGUCCGACGGGAGGCAGCAGCAGGUAAGGUACGGAGAAGUACGAAAUACUGACCGAGGAACGGAGGGCGGGUGAAGAAGGUUUGCGUACCGUAAAACUCUGUUGGGGGAGAAGAACGUUGGUGAGAGUGAAAAGCUCAGCAAGAGGGGGAAGCGUCACAGAAAGGGACGUCAAACUACG
rnacentral:rRNA from 1 species